rnacentral:rRNA from 1 species
GAUGACGAGAGAGGGGAGGGCCACAUCAAAUUCUUUCGCCGCUAUAAGGCUUGGGCACCAGAGCAGCUGCAGAACGAGAUUGAAUCGGGAAUUUGGAAGUUCUGUC